GAGUUCAAGUGCUUCUAAAGGACACUUAACUGAUCUAAAUAUUUGUCAAGCUGAAUCACUACAUCCACUCUCACCUGCCUGAAAUCAAUAUGCUCAAGUCAAACGCAUUUGCCUGCAUCUGAAUGUGGAGAAUGAACUUCUUAAAGCUGAAAUGGCAGCUGGAAGGGGAGAGAGAAGAGCUGGACAGGGAGCCAGGACACCGGAGUUCUUUUCCACUGUGGUGGGACCUGGAAGAAGCUGUUGAAUGUCUGUAGGGUUAGCUUUUAAAUGCUCCUUGAAUUCUCAGGCAGUGAAUGCACUACCGUGCGCAGAAGGCAAGGACAUGGCUGAGCAUGUUGUUUUCUUCACUUUAUAUGGAGCUUCCUUAACAGGCUCCUGGUGCUGGUUCCAGCAGAAUAGACACAGAGAUGCAUGGCCUAACUCCCACCCCCUCUUCAGGACUGAGCCACGCAGCCCCCCAUCUGCCAGAAGUGUUAGCUGUUGACGGCUCACAGCUGAGUCGCUCCCCAGGCAUUGCUGAAAAAAGCCACCUUGCUCUAGGAUGUGCCCCCACCCUGGGGGCAGCACACAUUCCAAGUGAUUAGUCCAUAGUGUGGUACAAAGGUUGUACCCAUCUUGCCUGAAUUCAGGAUCUCUUGGAAAACCAUCCCAGCUCUGCAGCUCCUGGUGGGGUGCUGAGGCCUCUGCUGCAGCUGCAUCGCAGUUUACUUUCCCCUCCGCCUAGUCCUGCUGCCGUCACUCCCCAACAGGUAUUGUUCCCCAGAGAACUCCCUGCCCCCAGUCACCUGUAAGCAAAUCUCCACUGCAGUCUGUGGCCUGGGAAACCUGCUCUAGGAUCCCAAAGUGAACACAGCUUCCCAUUGAAAUGUGUCUUUCGGUGUUAAUCUGUCCUGCCAUCUUUACAUCUAAUCAAGAGGUAGAGCUUCCCCUGGUGUUUCUGCUGGGUACAUAAAGGAUCUUUUCCAUUGUC
rnacentral:lncRNA from 1 species